rnacentral:rRNA from 1 species
UACAGAGGGGGCUAGCGUUGUUCGGAAUCACUGGGCGUAAAGCGCUUGUAGGCGGAUCGUUAAGUCAGGGGUGAAAUCCCGAGGCUCAACCUCGGAACUGCCUCUGAUACUGGCGAUCUUUGAGUCCGGGAGAGGUGAGUGGAACUCCGAGUGUAGAGGUGAAAUUCGUAGAUAUUCGGAAGAACACCAGUGGCGAAGGCGGCUCACUGGCCCGGUACUGACGCUUAAGAGCGAAAGCGUGGGGAGCAAACAGG